CUUGUGGCCCUUGCAGCAGUUCUGAUUAAGGAAGAAGCAAAAAAUCAAUGGCCGGUCUACUACAUAAGCCGAGUACUAAGAGAUGCCGAAACCAGGUAUAGAGAAACUAACUUAUGCCUUGUUGGUUGCAGCUCGGAGGCUCUGACCUUACUUUCAAGGACACACCAUAAUACUACUCACCGACCAGUCGAUCAAGGCGGUUCUGCAUCGAGC
rnacentral:lncRNA from 1 species